rnacentral:misc_RNA from 1 species
AACGCACAUUGCGCUCCCUGGUAUUCCGGGGAGCAUGCUCGUUUCAGAAUCAUUAACAUUCUCAAAGACACGGUUCUCGCAUUUUUGCGAGGCUGGAUCUUUCGGAUGUGAGCCUCUUUGCUUUGAUGCAAUGGCUUGAAAAUGAUUGUGUUUGCUACCGGCCUUAUGGUUCGGUUCUCUCAAGUGCAACAGAUGUUAAUUCAUUUCGUUAACUCUUGAUGAGGAACGUUCCUCAACCGGUGUUUGGCUUACACUCCAUCAAUUAUACCUUCAGCGAUACGUGUAUCGCUGUUUGAUAACUUGGUCUGAAAUCGAGCAAGAAAACCCGCUGAACUUAA